rnacentral:rRNA from 1 species
AGAGUUUGAUCCUGGCUCAGGACGAACGCUGGCGGCACGCUUAACACAUGCAAGUCGAACGAGAGAAGAGGAGCUUGCUUUUCUGAUCUAGUGGCGGACGGGUGAGUAACACGUGAGCAAUCUGCCUUUCAGAGGGGGAUACCGAUUGGAAACGAUCGUUAAUACCGCAUAACAUAAUUGAACCGCAUGAUUUGAUUAUCAAAGAUUUAUCGCUGAAAGAUGAGCUCGCGUCUGAUUAGCUAGUUGGUAAGGUAACGGCUUACCAAGGCGACGAUCAGUAGCCGGACUGAGAGGUUGAUCGGCCACAUUGGGACUGAGACACGGCCCAGACUCCUACGGGAGGCAGCAGUGGGGAAUAUUGCACAAUGGAGGAAACUCUGAUGCAGCGAUGCCGCGUGAGGGAAGAAGGUUUUAGGAUUGUAAACCUCUGUCUUCAGGGACGAAAAAAGACGGUACCUGAGGAGGAAGCUCCGGCUAACUACGUGCCAGCAGCCGCGGUAAUACGUAGGGAGCGAGCGUUGUCCGGAAUUACUGGGUGUAAAGGGAGCGUAGGCGGGAUCGCAAGUCAGAUGUGAAAACUAUGGGCUUAACCCAUAAACUGCAUUUGAAACUGUGGUUCUUGAGUGAAGUAGAGGUAAGCGGAAUUCCUAGUGUAGCGGUGAAAUGCGUAGAUAUUAGGAGGAACAUCAGUGGCGAAGGCGGCUUACUGGGCUUUAACUGACGCUGAGGCUCGAAAGCGUGGGGAGCAAACAGGAUUAGAUACCCUGGUAGUCCACGCCGUAAACGAUGAUUACUAGGUGUGGGGGGACUGACCCCUUCCGUGCCGCAGCAAACGCAAUAAGUAAUCCACCUGGGGUGUACGACCGCAAGGUUGAAACUCAAAGGAAUUGACGGGGGCCCGCACAAGCAGUGGAGUAUGUGGAUUAAUUCGAAGCAACGCGAAGAACCUUACCAGGUCUUGACAUCGUAUGCAUAGCUCAGAGAUGAGUGAAAUCUCUUCGGAGACAUAUAGACAGGUGGUGCAUGGUUGUCGUCAGCUCGUGUCGUGAGAUGUUGGGUUAAGUCCCGCAACGAGCGCAACCCUUACUGUUAGUUGCUACGCAAGAGCACUCUAGCAGGACUGCCGUUGACAAAACGGAGGAAGGUGGGGAUGACGUCAAAUCAUCAUGCCCCUUAUGACCUGGGCCUCACACGUACUACAAUGGCUGUCAACAGAGGGAAGCAAAGCCGCGAGGUGGAGCGAACCCCUAAAAGCAGUCUUAGUUCGGAUUGUAGGCUGCAACCCGCCUACAUGAAGUCGGAAUUGCUAGUAAUCGCAGAUCAGCAUGCUGCGGUGAAUACGUUCCCGGGCCUUGUACACACCGCCCGUCACGCCAUGGGAGUCGGUAACACCCGAAGCCUGUAG